rnacentral:rRNA from 1 species
GAUGAACGCUGGCGGCGUGCCUAAUACAUGCCAGUAGAACGCUGAAGGAGGAGCUUGCUCUUCUGGAUGAGUUGCGAACGGGUGAGUAACGCGUAGGUAACCUGCCUGGUAGCGGGGGAUAACUAUUGGAAACGAUAGCUAAUACCGCAUGACAACAGUUAUUGCAUGAUAACUGUUUAAAAGGGGCAACUGCUCCACUACCAGAUGGACCUGCGUUGUAUUAGCUAGUUGGUGAGGUAACGGCUCACCAAGGCGACGAUACAUAGCCGACCUGAGAGGGUGAUCGGCCACACUGGGACUGAGACACGGCCCAGACUCCUACGGGAGGCAGCAGUAGGGAAUCUUCGGCAAUGGACGGAAGUCUGACCGAGCAACGCCGCGGGAGUGAAGAAGGGUUUCGGAUCGUAAAGCUCGGUUGUAAGAGAAGAACGAGUGUGAGAGUGGAAAGUUCACACUGUGACGGUAUCUUACCAGAAAGGGACGGCUAACUACGUG